AAGACUAUAGACCUGCGGAGUACCUGCGGAGGGAUCAUUAUUGAUUUUCAAAGGAUGUGCUGGCUCCUAACUUUUGGGAACAAACGUGCACUCCCAACAAAACCAAUAUCCACCUGUGCACUCCUUAGUAGGCAAAAAGACCGUCACCAGUCUUUUGUCUAUGUUUCCUUUACAAACACUUGAACUAUUGGAAUGCCUUUCUUAUGCAAUGACAAUGACAUCAUUGCAAUACAACUUUUA
rnacentral:misc_RNA from 1 species